rnacentral:rRNA from 1 species
GAUGAACGCUGGCGGCGUGCCUAAUACAUGCAAGUCGAGCGAACGGACGAGAAGCUUGCUUCUCUGAUGUUAGCGGCGGACGGGUGAGUAACACGUGGAUAACCUACCUAUAAGACUGGGAUAACUUCGGGAAACCGGAGCUAAUACCGGAUAAUAUUUUGAACCGCAUGGUUCAAAAGUGAAAGACGGUCUUGCUGUCACUUAUAGAUGGAUCCGCGCUGCAUUAGCUAGUUGGUAAGGUAACGGCUUACCAAGGCAACGAUGUAUAGCCGACCUGAGAGGGUGAUCGGCCACACUGGAACUGAGACACGGUCCAGACUCCUACGGGAGGCAGCAGUAGGGAAUCUUCCGCAAUGGGCGAAAGCCUGACGGAGCAACGCCGCGUGAGUGAUGAAGGUCUUCGGAUCGUAAAACUCUGUUAUUAGGGAAGAACAUAUGUGUAAGUAACUGUGCACAUCUUGACGGUACCUAAUCAGAAAGCCACGGCUAACUACGUG